rnacentral:rRNA from 1 species
GACGAACGCUGGCGGCGUGCUUAACACAUGCAAGUCGAACGGUAAGGCCCUUCGGGGUACACGAGUGGCGAACGGGUGAGUAACACGUGGGUGAUCUGCCCUGCACUUCGGGAUAAGCCUGGGGAACUGGGUCUAAUACCGGAUAGGACCCUGGGAUGCAUGUCCUGGGGUGGAAAGCUUUUGCGGUGUGGGAUGGGCCCGCGGCCUAUCAGCUUGUUGGUGGGGUGAUGGCCUACCAAGGCGACGACGGGUAGCCGGCCUGAGAGGGUGACCGGCCACACUGGGACUGAGAGACGGCCCAGAGGCCUACGGGAGGCAGCAGUGGGGAAUAUUGCACAAUGGGCGCAAGCCUGAUGCAGCGACGCCGCGUGAGGGAUGACGGCCUUCGGGUUGUAAACCUCUUUCAGCACCGACGAAGCGCAAGUGACGGUAGGUGCAGAAGAAGGACCGGCCAACUACGUGCCAGCCGCCGCAGUAA